rnacentral:rRNA from 1 species
GACGAACGCUGGCGGCGUGCCUAACACAUGCAAGUCGAACGGAAAGGCCCUGCUUUUGUGGGGUGCUCGAGUGGCGAACGGGUGAGUAACACGUGAGUAACCUGCCCUUCACUUUGGGAUAACUUAAGGAAACUGGGGCUAAUCCCGGAUAGGAGCUCCUGCUGCAUGGUGGGGGUGGGAAAGUUUGGCCGUUGGGGAUGGAAUGGGGGCAUCUCGGCUUGUGGGUGGGGCAGGGGCUUACCAAGGCUUUGACGGGUUGCCGGCCUGAGAGGGUGACCGGCCACAUUGGGACUGAGAUACGGCACAGACUCCAAUGGGAGGCAGCAGUGGGGAAUAUUGCACAAGGGGCGGAAGCCUGAUGCAGCCACGCCGCGUGCGGGAUGACGGCAUUCGGGUUGUAAACCGCUUUCGCUUGAGACGAAGCGUUAGUGACGGUAAUGGGUAAAGAAGCACCGGCUAACUACGUG